AAACCAUGCAUUGGGCAUUUGCGCAACAAAUAUUUGAAACGCUCCCAAGCUUCAUAUAGAUUCUCUCAUCUAUUUUCUUGAAUGAUAUAAGAUCAUUCCUUAAUUU